AGAAUUUCUGCGGCAGUAUACUUGCUGAUUGCUUCGUUCUCACUCCUCACAACAACCAGCUAAGACACUGCCAGAGAAACACCCACAGCAGCCGUCUCUUUCCGCCCCAGCCUCCCCGGAGCAGGAUCCUGACCUGGUCACCUGACAACAUGGAUACUCGAGAGCAGCGUGCAGUUGCUGGCGAACGAAGGAACAGAGGGAAUAAUGAAGCAGGGGGCACAAACUGUCAGAUGAGCGGCCUCUGUCCGGUGCAUCUUCACUGGUGAAAUCCGCAGCGAGGCUAUUUGCGGCUCUCAUGUCUGAUUUUGAAUUUGGAUACUUCUAGGAAAGCAGUUUGUGGCGCUCUGACGCAAGCGUUCACCCCAACACGUGUGCUGAUGCUGGCCCGCAUAUAGAGGAUCUGUUUUUGCCCUUCUUCGUCCGAGUCCACAGACAAACGCCGAGACACCUCUCGACCUGCCUUCCAAACAGCUGCAUCCGUGCUCCUUUGUGUCUUUGUGUCGGGCCAGUGACGCUGCCUUCGCUGAGCACAUGAUGACAGGAAUUCCUUCCUGCUCAGGCCUUGUUGUAAUCCUUAAUACAGGAUUGAGGAAUGCUGGCGAAAACUGAACCCUGCUCUCUAAAUGAGUGACUGACUGACUGACUGCCGCACUGAUUUAUGCAGAAGCAGCAACGAGCCUCAAAUCACAGACCUCUCCAAGAAUACAUUUCGACCCCUAAUUCACCUCUACUGGCUCUUUUUUUUAAUCUUUUUGUGCUGAUCUACAAAGGAGGAAAAAAAAGGACGGAAAGUUUAAGUUUUAGGUUUGACUUGUUCAAAGUUAAAUAGUUAAAAUAACCUUAAAUUAGAGUAAGACUUAAGACUGAUGUAAGUGUGUAAUACUGGAACAAAUAUAGAAUUAAGAUAUCACCGAUAUCCAAAAUUAGGAAGUAGACACGAUGUAACACUGGUGACACAUGAGCUAUAUGAAUCAUAAAAAACGGUAUUUAUGGAGAAAUUUCGAAAUUAUUAAUAAUAAAAAAAUUCCAUUCAUUUUCUAUAUUAUUUUAUCGAUUACAAAAACGGACAGUCUCUGUGUUAUUUUAGAUAUUUUAGAUUAUAAUU